GACGAAGGUGGCGAGCGUUGUUCGGAAUCACUGGGCAUAAAGCGCACGUAGGCGGCGGCGUAAGUUGGAUGUGAAAUCCCCCGGCCCAACCGGGGGAACUGCGUCCAGUACUGCGUUGCUUGAGGAUCCAAGGGGUGCAGUGGAAUUCCCGGUGGACGCGGUGAAAUGCGUUGAUAUCGGGAGGAACUCCGGCGGCGAAAGCGGUGCACUGGUGGAUUACUGACGCUGAGGUGCGAAAGCCAGGGGAGCAAACGGG
rnacentral:rRNA from 1 species